AACGAGCGCUGGUGGCAUGCCUAACACAUGCAAGUCGAACGAGACCUUCGGGUCUAGUGGCGCACGGGUGCGUAACGCGUGGGAACCUGCCCUUAGGUUCGGAAUAACUCCCCGAAAGGGGUGCUAAUACCGGAUAAUGUCUUCGGACCAAAGAUUUAUCGCCUUUGGAUGGGCCCGCGUUGGAUUAGCUAGUUGGUAGGGUAAAAGCCUACCAAGGCGACGAUCCAUAGCUGGUCUGAGAGGAUGAUCAGCCACACUGGGACUGAGACACGGCCCAGACUCCUACGGGAAGCAGCAGUGGGGAAUAUUGGACAAUGGGCGAAAGCCUGAUCCAGCAAUGCCGCGUGAGUGAUGAAGGCCUUAGGGUUGUAAAGCUCUUUUACCCGGGAUGAUAAUGACAGUACCGGGAGAAUAAGCUCCGGCUAACUCCGUG
rnacentral:rRNA from 1 species